rnacentral:rRNA from 1 species
CCUACGGGUGGCAGCAGUGGGGGAUAUUGCACAAUGGGGGGAACCCUGAUGCAGCGACGCCGCGUGGGUGAAGGAGUAUUUCGGUAUGUAAAGCCCUAUCGGCAGGGAAGAAAUUGGACGGUACCUGACUAAGAAGCCCCGUCUAACUACGUGCCAGCAGCCGCGGUAAUACGUAGGGGGCAAGCGUUAUCCGGAUUCACUGGGUGUAAAGGGAGCGUAGACGGCAAUGCAAGCCAGGGGUGAAAGCCCGGGGCUCAACCCCGGGACUGCCCUUGGAACUGCAUGGCUGGAGUGCGGGAGGGGCAGGCGGAAUUCCUGGUGUAGCGGUGAAAUGCGUAGAUAUCAGGAGGAACACCGGCGGCGAAGGCGGCCUGCUGGACCGUGACUGACGUUGAGGCUCGAAAGCGUGGGGAGCGAACAGGAUUAGAUACCCUAGUAGUC